rnacentral:tRNA from 1 species
CCCUGGCUGGCUCAGCUGGUAGAGCAUGUGACUCUUGAUCUUGGGGUUGUGGGUUCGAGCCCCAUGUUGGGUG